GGGGCCGUUGUGGUUUCGACGGGGGGAGUGAAUUCGAAGAUGCGUGUCCGGGAGCCGUGCUUGCCGGUCAAAACAGUACGGAAAGUACAACUGCCGAAGAGCCCAUGCUCAUGGCAGCGUGAUCUAGCGAAAAACUAGAGAACGCCGUUCCGCUCGUCCCCCCGCCCGUGGGUACGAGACGGGGCGAGAACAAAACGGGAUUGGUCCCCACGGAAGCCGUGGCCGUGGGGAACGAAAAAAAAGCGGCUGGUUUCGAAUGGGCCGUGCCCGUGAGCCCAGGCGAGGCGAGAUUGAUCACGAGGCUACACACGUAGGAUCUUCGUUGGAUCUUCUCUCGGACGCGGGUUCAACUCCCGCCGGCUCCAGCC
rnacentral:tmRNA from 1 species